rnacentral:rRNA from 1 species
AACGCCGCGUGGAGGAUGAAGGUCCUUGGAUCGUAAACUCCUGUCAGCAGGGAAAAAGGGAUAGGCGUUAAUACCGCUUAAACUUGAUUGUACCUGCAGAGGAAGCCCCGGCUAACUCUGUGCCAGCCACUUCGGUGACUGAGCGGGCUGGCAAGGCGCAUA